rnacentral:rRNA from 1 species
GACGAACGCUGGCGGCGUGCCUAAUACAUGCAAGUGGAACGCAUGAUUGAUACCGGAGCUUGCUCCACCAUGAAUCAUGAGUCGCGAACGGGUGAGUAACGCGUAGGUAACCUACCUCAUAGCGGGGGAUAACUAUUGAAAACGAUAGCUAAUACCACAUAACAGUAUUUAUCACAUGGUAAAUGCUUGAAAGGAGCAAUUGCUUCACUAUGAGAUGGACCUGCGUUGUAUUAGCUAGUUGGGGGGGUAACGGCUCACCAAGGCAUCGAUACAUAGCCAACCUGAGAGGGUGAUCGGCCACACUGGGACUGAGACACGGCCCAAACUCCUACGGGAGGCAGCAGUAAGGAAUAUUGGUCAAUGGACAAAAGUCUGAACCAGCCAUGCCGCGUGAAGGAUGAAGGUCCUCUGGAUUGUAAACUUCUUUUAUAGGGAACAAAAAAAGGGAAUUCUUUCUCACUUGACGGUACCCUAGGAAUAAGCACCGGCUAACUCCGUG